GGGCCAGUUGUCUAAUUGGAUAUGACGUCUGACUACGAAUCAGGAGGUUGCAGGUUCGAGUCCUGUCUGGCUCG